rnacentral:tRNA from 1 species
GGCGGUAUGGGAUAAUGGUAUUCCAUCACAUUGCUAAUGUGUCCUACAGAAAUGUAGUCUAGGUUCGACCCCUAGUGCCGCCG